rnacentral:lncRNA from 10 species
UUUUUUAUUUUUUUGUAGAGACACAUUCUAUAUUGCCCAGGCUGGUCUCAAACUCCUGGCCUCAAGCUAUUCUCCCAACUUGGCCUCUGAAAUUGCUGAGAUUACAGGCAUGAGUGACCAUGUCCUGCUAAUUUUUAAAAAAAAAUUUUUGUAGAGAUGAGUUUUGACUAAGUUGCCCAGGCUGGUCUCAAACUUCUGGCCUGAAGCUAUCCUCCCAUCUUGGCCUCCCAAAUUGCUGAGAUUACAAGCGUGAGUGACCACUCCUGUGAGAUUUUUAAGUAGGCACGUUUGCUCUAAACAAAAUAUGAUUCCUUCAUAAGGAAGAAGACAGAAUAGAUGUUGAAUCAGUAACUGCAAUGUUUGAUGUUGAUUGAAAUGAAAAGACUGGGCUUAUUUUUAUUCAUAAAAAUAAAUAGGGUUUUUAAGAGAUGUGUUUCAGCAUGUCUAUCCACAGACAAAGAUAUGACUUAAUUUUAUUUAUGUAAAAUUCUGCUGAGAAACUCAUGCUCAUCUAGCCAGUGGAAGUAUCCAAUUAGGGGGUGCAGGGCCUUUCUUUUGAAAUAAAUCACUCAGUUGUCAGAAAUUAGCACAGCCCCUCAUCAUUUGGGUUCCUUCAUGAAUCAUCAGGCCACAUCCUUUUCCAUUUAUGUGACUGUGUUGUGUUGCAAAUUAAGUUUUAAAAGACAUUUUUUUUCUCAAAGAAAAUGUAAAGAAUAGAGUACCCCCCACAACCACCACCCGGGAUAAUGAACUAUAGCUACUGUCAUUCCAGGAGGGCUUAAUGACAGUGUUCGAUGUGUGUGUGGACAGCCGAGGCUUCCCCCAAAGUUGUCUCUGUGAAUGGGCUUCAAGAUGUUUUGACUAUUAUCUGUUACAAAGAAACUUACUAUUAAUUGCAUAUUGUCAUAGCUGUUAGUCCAACAUAACUGUUAGCCCAACAAAGCAUUCUCUCCUCAGGAGAAGGGGAUGGGGACACAGCCUAAUUUUCUUCCACUGGGUAAGCGGUUUCUCUAAGUUCCUCGCUGCUCCAUUCCUUAAGUUUUCUUGGAGAAAAUCAAGUUGAGGAAGGACUCAUUCUUCCCUGUGGAUGACUUCAGCUCUCUUCCAGGCAGGAGUGAGGAUGGCCCUCCAUCAUCCCAGGAUCCACCUGUGCUGGGUCUGUGUCCGGAAUUUAUUCCUUCUGGUGGGUUCUUGGUCUCGCUGACUUCAAGAAUGAAGCUGCAGACCUCGCGGUAUUACAGCUCUCAGACGUGGUGCAUCCGGAGUUGUUUGUUCCUCACGGUGCGUUCAUGGUCUAUGGCUCUGACUUAAAGGAUGAAGCUGCAGACCUCACGGUCAGUGUUACAGCUCUUAAAGGUGGUGCAUCCGGAGUUGUUUGUUCCUCCCGGUGGGUUCGUGGUCUCGCUGACUUGAAGAAUGACGCGGCAGACCCUCGCGGUAAGUGUUACAGCUCUUAAAAGUGGUGCAAAGCCAAAGAGUGACCAGCAGUAAGAUUUAUCAGGAAGACCGAAAGAACUAAGCUUCCACUGGUUUCAAUGGUACCCGACCUGGCUGC